GAGGAUAUAGCUCAGCAGUAGAGUGCAUGCUUAGCAUGCACAAGUCCUGGGUUCAAUCCCCAGUACCUCCA
rnacentral:tRNA from 1 species